CGAUGAUACGCGAGGAACCUUACCUGGGCUCGAACGUAAGAUGACUGUAGGUGAAAGCUUACAUCUCUUCGGAGCAUUUUACGAGGUGCUGCAUGGUUGUCGUCAGCUCGUGCCGUGAGGUGUCGGGUUAAGUCCCAUAACGAGCGCAACCCCUACCUUUAGUUGCCAUCAGGUUAAGCUGGGGACUCUAAAGGAACUGCCUACGCAAGUAGGUGAGGAAGGCGGGGAUGACGUCAAAUCCAGCACGGCCCUUACGUCCAGGGCUACACACGUGCUACAAUGGCCGAUACAGAGGGCAGCUACCUGGUGACAGGAUGCAAAUCUCCAAAGUCGGUCUCAGUUCGGAUCGGAGUCUGCAACCCGACUCCGUGAAGUUGGAUUCGCUAGUAAUCGCGCAUCAGCCAUGGCGCGGUGAAUACGUUCCCGGGCCUU
rnacentral:rRNA from 1 species